GGGGUGGGGCCGGUCGAGGCAGUCGCAGUUGUUGGGGGGAGCGCUUCGUGGGAGGUGGGCGCAAGCGCACUCCAGCUGGUGGGUUGGCGGUUGGUACGGAAGCCUUUGGCGGAGCGGGACGGAUUGUGAGAAAACGAAACGAAAGGGGGAGGGAGGGAGUGAGUGAGCUGGCAACGAGGAGGCAGUGGAGGUGGCGUCGUCGUUAAGUCCCGCUCGUUACCGGAGAGAAAAAAGGAUGAGUUUGGACAAAGCUGAGCUCUGCGACAGCCUCUUACUAUGGCUCCAGACAUUUCGUGUGCCAUUGCCCUGCACCACCAAAGAGCAGCUGACCAGUGGAGUUGCAAUUGCUCAAGUCCUUAAUCAUAUUGAUCCUUCUUGGUUUAAUGAGACCUGGUUAGGGCGUAUAAAGGAAGACAUCAGUGACUGGAGGCUGAAGGUAU